CCACUCCAGUCUGUGGCUGACAGCGGCCAUCGUCACUUCCGUCUCGCUAGCAGAGUUUAAUGGGAUAUUACAUAUAGAAUAAGAGUCAACAGACGUAAGUGCAAAUGAUGUACGCAAUCUGACAUGGAUGGAAUGAGCAUUGGGGAAGGUGUCAUGCGAUUAUAAACCGAGAUUUAAUCACAAGUGACGAGGAAGCAAGAUGGCCACUCAGGAUAUCAGCGCAGAAACAGUAACAGAAGAGCGGCAGCCGCUGCGCCAUUCUAAUUUCGAGAGGUCUUCCACAUUCAGGAGGUGGCCGCAGUAUAUUGCAGUUUUUUUCGCCACCCUGGGCGGGGCGACGGCCGGCCUGGUGGGCGGCUGGACGAGCAACGCGGCGCCGGCGCUGCGGCUGCGCGGCCUGUCGGAACCCUCGCUGGCGUGGGUGGGC